rnacentral:rRNA from 1 species
CAGUAGCCGCGGUAAUACGAAGGGGGCUAGCGUUGCUCGGAAUUACUGGGCGUAAAGGGAGCGUAGGCGGACAUUUAAGUCAGGGGUGAAAUCCCGGGGCUCAACCUCGGAAUUGCCUUUGAUACUGGGUGUCUUGAGUAUGAGAGAGGUAUGUGGAACUCCGAGUGUAGAGGUGAAAUUCGUAGAUAUUCGGAAGAACACCAGUGGCGAAGGCGACAUACUGGCUCAUUACUGACGCUGAGGCUCGAAAGCGUGGGGAGCAAACAGGAUUAGAUACCCCAGUAGUCCCUGUCUCUUAUAC